GACAGAGGAGGCAAGCGUUAUCCGGAAUUAUUGGGCGUAAAGCGUUCGUAGGUGGUUUGACAAGUCUGGGGUUAAAGCCCGGAGCCCAACUCCGGAUCGGCCCUGGAAACUGUCAGACUUGAGUAAGGAAGGGGUUGCGGGAAUUCCCGGUGUAGCGGUGAAAUGCGUAGAUAUCGGGAAGAACACCAGCGGCGAAAGCGCUCAACUGGGCCAUUACUGACACUGAGGGACGAAAGCUAGGGGAGCGAAUGGG
rnacentral:rRNA from 1 species